rnacentral:misc_RNA from 1 species
UACGGAGGGUGCGAGCGUUAAUCGGAAUUCCUGGGCGAAAAGCCCGCGUAGGUGGCUUGAUAUGCCGGUGGGGAAAGCCCCGGGCUCAACCUGGGAACGGCAUCCGGAACUGUCAGGCUAGAGUGCAGGAGAGGAAGGUAGAAUUCACGGUGUAGCGGUGAAAUGCGUAGAGAUCGGGAGGAAUACCAGUGGCGAAGGCGGCCUUCUGGACUCACACUGACACUGAGGUGCGAAAGCGUGGGUAGCAAACAGG